rnacentral:lncRNA from 1 species
CCUGCCUGCUGGCCGGGCCCUCUGUGUCGCUGGCCUCGCCCAGUCUUCAAUCCAUCAGAUCUCUGGCGGCUGGCGGCCCUGGGUUCCGUGAAGGUGGCCCAGGGGUGGACCUGGGGCAGACGACCUGGAGGGGGCCAAGGGCAAGGGGCCCUGGGGGACGCCCUUCGGGGCUUCAUCUGGAGAGACCUCGUAGGCUGUGCCUUGGGGGGGCCUCAAGGACACCACGCUGUGAAGCAGGCCAGUCACAGAGGACCCACACUGCAGGGCCCCUCCUCGAGGUCACCCAGUUGUCAACUCCACGGGGACAGAAAGUAGCACGUGGAGCCGGGCCGGAGGGUGGGUGCUGGGUUGGAUGGACAGCGUGGGGACGCGAGGAAGCGCUGCAGGUGGAGGUGGUGACCGCAGGGUGGACGGCCCAGCACCCUGAGCUGUGCGCUGGACGUGGUCGAGAUGCUAGAGCAGAACAGGACGCCACCGGCCCCCACUCCAGGAGGGAGAUGACCCCCUUCCCCGCGGGACCUGGGCCAUGGAGGGGCCGCCUGUACCGGGCCUCGGCCACGGGCCUCAGAGCCCAGGACGUCACCUGGGGAAUCCAAGAAGGACUCCGAGACGGCUGUCACUCCUGUUUCACCAUCUGGCAGAUGUGAGACUGUCCCAGCGUGCGGUGAGCCGCUCCUGGCCAUCCGUGGUCCCCGGAUGACCUCCCUGCCCUGCAGAGCCCAGUGCUGCCCCUCGCCCGCGGGGCUGCUGCGUCUCACCUGCUCCCCUGGGGCCAGGCUCCGGGGGCACCCGCGGCCCAGUCCAGCCACCCUCCUGUCCCUGGUGGCCUCCACCUGUCGUCCUGGGCCCCUCCCGACUUCUCCUGCAGGCCAGGCCACCGCCUCAGCCAGGGCUCCCUGUACGUCCUGGGCCAGCCACUGUCAGAGCCCGUUGGUGGCUCAGGGACCAUCCCUGCUGCUGCAGACCCUGCUACUACAGACCAAGCAGGUGCCAGCGUUCACGUGUUGUCACCAGAACCCCGUGUCACGGUACUGCGAGACCUCGGUCAGACACAUCGGGGCGGAGCAGUGGGGUUAGUGCCUCUGAAGGGACCUGGAGAGACAUCUGCCCCCUGUCCCCACCGCAUGGGGGACGGAGGAGGUGGCCGUCUGCCCGCCAGGAAAGCAGCACCUCCGUCUGGGACUCCCAGACUCAGAACGUGAGAACCAAAUUCCCACUGAAGCCCAAGAACCUCCCCCACGCCUGGAUCUGACCUGGGGGCCGGCCGGACGCCGCCUCCCUCCCGGCCCCCCUGCCUGGCCUCUGGCCUGGGCUCCUUCCUCGGGCUGCGACACCUUCUGCUCUCAGUGCCACCGACUCCUCAGCCCCUGGGUCUGGGCUCCCCUCUCCUCCCCGGGGGCAGCCCCCGCCUGGACAGAAGCGGUGGUCCCAGCAGGAGGGGGCCCAGAGGCUGAGCUCCGCCUGGCCCCCCACGGGCCCAACGAGGUGCAGAGCGGCCCCUGCCCUGGGCGAUGGGUGGACGACAGACUGAUUCCUGCCUCCAGGUCGGCUCACCUGGGCGUCCCCGGCAGCCUUGUGCUGAAAAGACCCCAAACCGUCCUAUGUACCGUGAG